GACGAACGCUGGCGGCGUGCUUAACACAUGCAAGUCGAGCGGUAAGGCCCCUUCGGGGGUACACGAGCGGCGAACGGGUGAGUAACACGUGGGUGACCUGCCCUCAGCUCUGGGAUAAGCCUGGGAAACUGGGUCUAAUACCGGAUAUGACUCCAUGACGCAUGUCGUGGGGUGGAAAGCCUUGUGCGGCUGGGGAUGGGCCCGCGGCCUAUCAGCUUGUUGGUGGGGUGAUGGCCUACCAAGGCGACGACGGGUAGCCGGCCUGAGAGGGCGACCGGCCACACUGGGACUGAGACACGGCCCAGACUCCUACGGGAGGCAGCAGUGGGGAAUCUUGCGCAAUGGGCGAAAGCCUGACGCAGCGACGCCGCGUGAGGGAUGACGGCCUGUGUAAC
rnacentral:rRNA from 1 species